UGCAAAAGACAUGAAACCUUCCUUUUUUAUGGCUGCAUAAUAUGCAGAGGAAGAACAUUUAAUCCCAACUGAUGGAGUGAGGAAGGCUUGCUCAAAGAAGUGACAUUUGAUAUGAAUCUGAAUUUUGAAGUAGGAGAAGGAAUGUGAACCAGGAUGAGAGGUGUCCAGGCAGAAAGAAGAGUCUAAACAAAAAUUCAUCGAGAUGAAGAACAUCACAUGUUAGGGAACUACAUAUAAAUUCAUUCCUCAUUAAGGCUGGAAUGAAGUGCACAAGUGAAGCAAAAUGAAGCUAGAGUAUAGCUAUGCACCAGAUAGGACCUUGUAUGACAAAUUAAGGGCAAUAGUUUAAAGCAUAUAAGCAACAGAAUGGGAUGACAUUUGCCUUUCAGAAAGAUCACUCGGACAAGAAUGUGGAGAAUAGUUUUGGGGAGACUAAAAGUAGAGUCAAAGAGAACAUUUACUAUUGUAAUCCAAAAGGGAAGAAAUGACAGAUCUGGGCUAAGGCAGUAGAAGUAGGAAUAGAGAUGAGGAGAUGGAUUUGCAUGAUGUUGAGGAAAUUAAUCUAUAGAAUUCAUGAUUAAUUGGAUGUAGGGAAGAAGAAAUUUAAGCAAACUCCCACAUUUCUGCAUUGGUGGACAGAGUUGACACCUCUGUUCAACAGGGUAGGUAUUUAAUCUCACAAAUAUUUAUCAGGCACAUACUAUGUGCUGGGCAGUGAUAAUACACUAAGGAACAAAAUGGACAAACUUUGGGAAGAUAGAGACUGUAAACAAAUAGAUAAUAUCGUGUAGUGAUAAAUUCUAUGAAGAAAAAUAGGUUAAGGAUAAAUAAGAAUAUACAGUGAUGAGUGUUACACAUUUAUAGAACUCAGAGAGGCCUCCUUUUGAGGAAAUUAUUGGAAUAAAUUGAAUGCAGGAGACAUGGAUAUUAGGGUUAAAAAAGUAUUCCAGGGAGAAAGAACAUAAUUGCAAAGUAUGUGAAGUGGAAGUGUGCUUGUGACAUGUUUUAGGGGCAACCAAGAGGCCGGUAAAGAUGGAGUAGACAGAGCAAGGGGAAAAGUGGUAUGUGGUGAGAUCAGAGAGGUAUUGGGGGACAGAUCAUGUAAGUACAGGAUGAUGAUCAGGUUUGAAGGUCUGGGUGAGAUGAAGGGUUUUAUUUUUGACAUGCUGCAUUUUCCAGGUAGAUAUGUCUAUUAGAUGUUGGUCACAUAGGUGUGAAACUUGGAAAUGGGAUCUGAGUUAGAAAUAUAGAUUUAGGGAUCAUUAUCAGAUGGAUAGUAAGGAGUUUACCUAGAAAUAUAGAGAGUGACAAGAGGGUAGAGAGUACAAUAUUUGGAAAUGCUAACAUUUAAAGGGUGGGAUAAUAGAAGAAUGGGAACAUGUGAUAGAGAUUGAGAAGGAAAGGCAGUGAGAAAAGGACCCAUAGACAGCUCCAUAUAUGUUCUGCUCUGGAAGGUUUAAGCACAAGAUAUUUAUUAAGCAUCUAUAAUAAGCAUUGCACUGUGAAUAUGAGUGCAAUAGGUCUCAGAAUGAUGUAAUGAUAGGGCUUUUAGAAAUCAUCUAUUUAAACCCAAUCAUUCUAUAUUUGAGGGAACUGUGACUAGGGGGCAAAGUGACAUGCUCUAGGUCACACAGUUUCAUAGUGACAGAGAUAGGAUUUGAAUCCAAAUCUUUGGAACUGUCUUCUUUACACAACAGAACUCA